rnacentral:lncRNA from 1 species
AUUUUAUCAGCUAAUAUUCAGAAAAUCUUAUGGACAGAAAGCUUUCUUCUUCCUCUGAAUUGUAUGGAUGUCCUUGAAUUUCACUGAUACUGAAAAACUAGUUUAUCACACCUCAGCAGCUGGAUCAGCAGCAUUCUUGCAGCCUGUGUCAUGUGUGUGCAGAAUGUCCUGUAAAGCAGCCAGAUGUGAGGAUUUUAUCAGACUGAGAGGAAGAUGCAUCUAGAUACUGCUGCUACAUAGAGAUGCAACUUUGAUAGCUGGUGUGGGCUGUGCAUUUUCCAUCUCUUGCCCAGAACUUUUA